CCUACGGGAGGCUGCAGUCGAGAAUCAUUCACAAUGGGGGAAACCCUGAUGGUGCGACGCCGCGUGGGGGAAUGAAGGUCUUCGGAUUUUAAACCCCUGUCAUGUGGGAGCAAAUUAAAAAGAUAGUACCACAAGAGAAAGAGACGGCUAACUCUGUGACAGCAGCCGCGGUAAUACAGAGGUCUCAAGCGUUGUUCGGAGUCACUGGGCGUAAAGCGUGCGUCGGGUGUUUUGUAAGUCGUGUGUGAAAGGCGCGGGCUCAACCCGGGGACGGCAUAGGAUACUGGGAGACUAGAGUAAUGGAGGGGGAACCGGAAUUCUAGGUGUAGCAGUGAAAUGCGUAGAUAUCGAGAGGAACACUCGUGGCGAAGGCGGGUUACUGGACAUUAACUGACGCUGAGGCACGAAGGCCAGGGGAGCGAAAGGGAUUAGAUACCCCAGUAGUC
rnacentral:rRNA from 1 species